rnacentral:lncRNA from 1 species
GCUGAUAUACUGCUGAUAAAGUAACUGCAAGCAACUAAUCCAAUCCACUCCAGUGCAGGAUACAAUUCCAUGUGUCUCGGUUUAAGCUCCUUUAUCUUCUGAGUCUUAGGCCCCUCUUGAAAUGUCCUUAUUUUCAGGUAUAUUAAGUCGCCCAUAUGUAGCUCCAAAUAUUUAUGGCGCUUAGCUGCAUAAAUCUUCUGACGUCAUGGGAUUCCGAAAGCCCAUCAUUGAGCAUUUCCAUUUGCUCAGCCGUCUUUUGAACCAUUAAUACUUUUAACUCAUGUCGCUCCCCCACUUUGGUCCAACAAAGUGGUAUACUAUAAAGUCUACCAUAAAUAACCCUUGUAUAGUAAUUUUUUUUUUUUUUUUUUUUUUUUUUUUACUCGAAAGAUAAUUGUCGAUGUAGGCAAACUCUGGUAAAGGUAGAUGCUUUCCGAAAUUCCAUCCCACGCAAUCUCUGAACAUAUCAUUUAAGUUCUCAAUAGUCCUCUCUAACUGACAAUAUGUCAACGGGUGAUAAGAUGUACUCAUAUGAUCUUUGUACCAAGUGCCUUCCGAAAGGCUUUCUGAAAUGUAGAUGUGAACUUCGAUUCCCAAUCCGAUACAAUGUUGACAUCCAUGAAACUUCCUGAACUCAAUAAUGUAGGUCUGCUCCAAUUGAUUAGCCCUGAUUAUCUUCUUAAUUACUUAGGAAAUGGGCUGACUUGGUAAGUCUAUCCAUGACUACCCAUGUGGCAUCCUUUCCACAUAUGGUGAUUUAAAAUCCAAUAACAAUGUCCAUAAUCACCAUGCCUCAUUUCUACUCCAGCAAAAGCAAGCUCAAAAAUAACAUGAUAGAUGACUGAUCCUCUGUUAUUGCCAUAUAACAUGUCUGACACCGCGACGUAAUGUAGUUACAAACAUCUUCAUACUACACCAAUUAUAGUUAACUCUUCAUAUCUUUGUACCCUUUGGUCUUCCCGAUGGGUAGAGAAACACGAGUGAUAUGUUUGUUGUAAGAUUCCUUUUCUUAACAACUUAUCGUCCAACACACAAACUCGGUUUCAGUACAAGUAUAUCCUGCUCAAAGCUGUAUGAUAUCCAAUACUCCCAAUCUCGAUCUGUUCAACCAAUCCAGAAUGCUAACUUGUGCUUGUGUAUCCUCCAUAGCAAAACUGCCUGCUCCAAAGUCCCAAGGACAUCUGUCUCUCCAUUGAUAGUAAUGGCACCCAACCUGAGACUAGCAAAUCUCCAACUCAUGAACCUUCUUGGUUCCUGAGAUACAGCUCAUACGCCUACCCAAGGCAUUUAUCACCUGGUUGUCCUUACCAGAUAGUAUGCGAUAUCCAGACUAUAGCCUGCUACAAACUCAAUCCAACUGCACUGUCCAAGUACAAGUUUUUAAUAAAUGAAGAUAAAUUUCACAUUCUAAUAAUCCCAGAGAAUCUGAAUUUCCUUCCCGUACAAUUACGAUUUCCAAAACGAUAACGCAAAUACCACUACAGCCUCUCUGGCGUGAUGCAUAUGAAUGACUUAAUCCUCAUACUUUAAUUUAAAUCCAAUCCAGUAUCUGACACAUCACAGUAAGCCUCAGCCUCAGUAGAACCCAAAACUGGUGUCUUCAUUAGUUGUGCUUCAAUUCAGUGAAACUCCUCGAACAAAAAUCUAUCCAACCACACUUAACGUCUUUACAUGUAGACCGCGUCUUUAACAUUACUAAACCGGUGAAACCCUUGAUGAACUUCCAGUAGUACACUAUUAACCCAAAAAGAACGGCAGAUCUUUGUAGCGCUCUUAGGUUUCGACCUUCCCGAAACGGUAUUAAUCUUCUUUGAAUCCAUCAAAAUUCUGCUUCCAAACCAUGUUACCCAAAAAUCCAACAUUCCUCUGCCAGAAGCUACACUUCUUCAACUUAGCGAACAGUUGAUGCUCUCCAAGCUUAUCCAACACCAUCCGCGAAAUGCUCACAAAUCUCCUUUCUACUCCGAAAUAAAUCAGGAUGUCAUCGAUGAAUACAAUCGCACACCUAUCCAAAUGUUCACGAAAACGUCAUUCAUAUCUUCAUGAAUGCAACAGUGCCUUUAUCGAGCCAAAUGGUAUCACUGCGUCCCAUAAUAUCCAUAAUGUAUACAAAAAUUCACAUUCAGUAGAUACUCUUCAAAUAUAGUAAUCUGAUGGUGUUCUGAUGCCAAGUCAACCUUCAAGAACUAUAAACUUCCUGUAAUAAUCCAAUAAUUCAUCAACGCGCGGAAGCGAUACUUAUCUUUAAUGGUCACUUUGUUCAGACCUUUGCAGUCGAUACAAAAUUGAAACUCCCACCUUUCUUCUUUACAACAACAAUGAUGAUGUUCCCCACGGUAAAGUACCCGGUCUGAUAAAACCCUUGUCUGAUGAAUCUUCAACAUGCUCUUUCAGCUUUGUCAUCUCUGUUGGUGCUAAUCGGUAUAAAACUUGUGAAACUGGUGUUGUUUGCUCCAAACAAAUCGCAAGAGUUUCUCAUGUGUCAUGUGAUGACCGUUCCAAAGGUCACAAAUAUGUCCUCAUACUCUGCAAUAACCGGAAGAUCCUGCAGCUCAUGUUGUCCAUCAGCCUUAACCAUCGAGAUGGUAGUCAAAAAUCUCUAUGUCCUUGUAUCCCAUAACUCCUCAGUAUGUAGCAUGCAUGCACUAACAACUUCCAUCUGCUCCAGCAAUCGGAACUCUUGCCAUCAGGCAAUCCAACACUACUUGAUGCCGUGACAAUCAAUCCGUCCCAAGGAUAACAUCGUAAAAACGUAGCUCCAUCUCUGAUGAAUAUCCGAACAAAUCGGCCCUCCAAGCAUAACUGGUACCCUGCGAUGGAUAUAAACAGCUCCCAAUGUCCUAUGUCAGUUGUCCAAACUGACACAUCUCUGAAACGAUCAACACUGCCAAAAUUGGUAAACAUACCAAAGUGUAACUCCAACACCCACACAACGCAAGCUGCUGCACCCCAAUUCAAAAGCGAUCUCCACGAGUUCACGAAACAAAUAUAUCUCCAAAAUAGUCAAUAUACUCGUACACACAACAACACAUGCCAACCAAUGGCUCAUAUCACACACCACAAAAUCUCCAGUAACAAAACUCGUGGAACGAUUGCUUGAAGUGGGCUGGUGGCAGAAACGUCAUAUAUCCACUCCUGGAUAGCCUCGAAAUCAUGUCCGAAGAAACUGAUAACUCCCGAGAAAACUGACGAACUUGGACUUCACGCAACUGCUGAACAUCUGUCGAGAACCUUAUUAGUCGAAGGACGAAUGACGAUGAUUUUACUCAUCGUCAUAGAAAGAGACAUUUGAGUUAGUAAUUACAGGACAGAAUGGUGCUAAAAGAAUUUCGAAAUGUAUAAAUAAAUAUAUAGUUUUUUUUUUUUUAAAGUUGAAAACCGAUGAAAACCGAAUCCCCUGACCGCCAUCCCGGACGGAACCGGGAUGGAACCCGCUCUGAUACCAAAUAAGUUGAAUAAAUCACAUAGGAGUUAGGAUGAAGAAAUUAUCUGUGACACCCGUCACCUCCUAUAUGGAGGACAGCGUGUCACCCCCGACGCGUCAUCAUACAACAAUGUGAUACCCGUCUCCCUGACACUAAGGACGACGGGCCACCAACAAUAUCCUGUAAUAUAAAAGCCCAUAAACCCGACAACUCUCACCCAUGCCCAAAUAAAAUCCGAAAGAAAAGUCCAGUAGCACCAAGUCCGUCCAAAUAUCACAUACUUGUUUGUCUCACCUGAAAGGGGGAAGAGUGAGGGGUGAGCGACAGGGGAAUCGCUCAGUGAGGUAUGGGAUGCUACCCCGAAGUCCAUGGACCCGGACAUAGCACUCCGAAUAAAUAUAAUUUAAUUCUAAUGCAUGUCAAACACAGUACCUAAAGUACUCAAGCAACAAACAAUGGUCCUAGCGAGGUGCACACUCGCCGCCCACUAACAGGCCAAAACACUACCGAAAAGGUGCUCGGUUCAUACACACACCGAAAAAGUGCUCGGUAACACACGCCCGUAGACGAUUUAUCGACACUUCCAGUCUACAGCUCAACCGGUCGACUAAAGUUGGCUGUGACCUCCAUACAAUCCGGCAUACAGCAGUCCGACUCUGUAUCCGUCUCCAAACAAAAACAAUCCUAGCUAAGAAUUUACAUUAAGUGAAACAAUCAAUGUUGAAUCCUCUAACCCCCUAGUUCCGGUUUAUGCAAAGAACCUAAAACUAAACAAGCAAUGAUAGACUCGAUUUCACACAGACGGAACACAUUAGAAAUAAAUUAUACUUAUUCGAGGUCCUAAGCCGAAUAAGAGGAGUUCGGGAAUAGACCCUCACCUUAGCAAUAGAAAAGUGUUGUCUAUGAACUCCAGCUGCUCAAAUAGACUCCAUAUCUGAAAUCAGAUCGAAAUUCUGAGUCAGAACGCCUUUCGAACGGUCGAAAACGGAACUGGUCAAGGUUUUCGAAAAAAGUCAACCCGCUGGUCAAAGUCAACCCGGUCAAAGUCAACCCGGAAAUCGAUUUGACUAAACCGACCGGUUUACCCUAACCGAACCAAAAUCAAUUUAAACCGGCUAACCAACCGGUUAACCGAGUCAACCGAGUUGACUCACUGAGUUGACUCGGCCGAGUUGACCGAGUCGCCGGUGAGUCACCGGUGUCGGUCACCGGCGGCGACGGCGGAGCUGCGGCGGCGGCUUACCGGAAAGUUGGCCGGCGGCGACGGCGGAGCUGCGGCGGCGGACGGUGGUCCGGCGGCGGAGCUGCGGUGGCGACGAUUUCCGGCGGCGGCGCGUGCGUUUCACGCGCGCGCGAAGGGCGGUUUUCUGGAGGCGCGUACGGCUGCGUCCGGGCUCCGUUUGAGGCGUGCUUGGUGUCUACGGCUUCGUCUCGACGAGAGGAACACGAUGAUGGGCUUGGAUGCACGAGAUUCGCAACGGUUAAGAAGUUAUGGUCGAUUUACCAAAACGGCCGAAACUAAACUCAAAAAUAUGGCGGUUUCCGGUUACCUUUGGUUGCGGAUGAUGGUGGUGA